AGAGUUUGAUCCUGGCUCAGGACGAACGCUGGCGGCGUGCCUAACACAUGCAAGUCGGACGGGGUGAGUUAGUGGAAGCUUUCGGGUUGAAGCUGACUUACCUAGUGGCGGACGGGUGAGUAACGCGUGAAUUACCUACCCUAGGGAGGGGGAUAACGCCUGGAAACGGGUGCUAAUACCCCAUAUGCCGAAAAGGUGAAAAGGAGAGAUCCGCCCUGGGGUGAGGCCGCGUCCUAUCAGCUUGUUGGUGAGGUAACGGCCCACCAAGGCUAUGACGGGUAGCCGGCCUGAGAGGGCGGCUGGCCACACUGGGAUUGAGAUACGGCCCAGACUCCUACGGGAGGCAGCAGUGGGGAAUAUUGGGCAAUGGGGGAAACCCUGACCCAGCGACGCCGCGUGGAGGAAGGAGCCCUUCGGGGUGUAAACUCCUGUUGUAAGGGAAGAAGACAGUGACGGUACCUUACGAGGAAGCCCCGGCAAACUACGUGCCAGCAGCCGCGGUAACACGUAGGGGGCGAGCGUUGUCCGGAAUCACUGGGCGUAAAGCGCACGCAGGCGGAUGCGCGCGUCGGCUGUGAAAUGCACCGGCUCAACCGGUGCACUGCGGUCGAUACGGCGCAUCUGGAGUGCGGGAGAGGGAAGCGGAAUUCCCGGUGUAGCGGUGAAAUGCGUAGAUAUCGGGAGGAACGCCGGUGGCGAAGGCGGCUUCCUGGCCCGCAACUGACGCUCAUGUGCGAAAGCCAGGGGAGCGAACCGGAUUAGAUACCCGGGUAGUCCUGGCCGUAAACGAUGGACGCUAGGUGUGGGCGGUUUAUCCGUCUGUGCCGAAGUUAACGCGUUAAGCGUCCCGCCUGGGGAGUACGAUCGCAAGGUUGAAACUCAAAGGAAUUGACGGGG
rnacentral:rRNA from 1 species